GAUACGGGUUUUAUAUCUCCUAAAUAGGAGACGUUUCUUCUCCUCUUCUCUCUGCAACUCUAUUCUCUUCCUCAAGUUUUGUUCUUUUUUUUCUCAUCCCAAAAUUAUUUAGAUCGAUUGUGUUUUCGUAGCUCUUGUGUAUAUGUUUUCUUUUGGGUUUUGAUUUUGUCAUUUUUGGAUUUUGUUUUGUUUUUUUGUCCAAGCUGGAUCGUAAUCGGUUGGUGAGUUUCAUCCAUUCAAGCUUUAUAUUUUAAUAACUUUAAGGGACUGAUCUUCAUUUAGAAUUGAGAAGUGUCUCUCUGUUGCGGUGGAAUAGAUUGUUGUAAAGUUGGCUCCUUUAGAUGAGUUUUAAUGUCCUGGUGAUAGCAUCUCAAUAGAUCUCUAUCAACUUUAUUUGUUUGGAUAGAAAGCUCUCUCGUUUACGUUUAUUGAUGAUAAUAUGAUCUUCUGAUUCUGUCUUGUGGGUUGAUGAUUUAGUAGAUAUUUGAAAGGUUUUAUCUGUUUUGAAUUUUAGAUAAAAUCAAAACCCAUCAAGUGUUGGGUUUUCAAAAAAACAGGAGAAGAAGAAGAUGAACGUCGCAUCUUGACAUUCUUCCAAUCGUUGGAGCCAGAGCUUUUGAGACUUGGGUGCUAAAAUGGCAGCUCUUUCAGCGGUUCUGUCUCUUGGUUUCUGAUCACUUCGCCCUUCGCGCCUUUCCUUCUCCUCUUUCAGUUCGCUCCGGCAACAGACAUCACUCCUCCGACGCCAACGUCUUGUCCUUUCGAGGUCUCCCCUUAACAGGGCUCUUCAAGCUUCCCUUCAAUACAAGUGUCCAUUGGACUUGACUUCAUCAAGCUUCACUCUCGUUGCUUCUGUCUGCUCCAACAACACCGACAGAACCAUGGAGCUCUACGGAAUCCCAUCAUUGUGUUGCUGAUAGUUCUUCAGCUCUUGGACUCGCACACAUAGAGCAACUUUCUUGGAGGUAAAGGCAAUGAGAAGAUCAAGCAUGUCCUCUAUAUGUUCUUUUAUUGUUCCACAUGAGUAAAGUAAUAUCAAGAAUUGAUGAAAUGUUUUAGGUUUAUUUUACUAAUCUUUGGUUUCAUGUUUUUAUUUAAUCAAUAAAUUUGAAGUUUUUAAGAA